rnacentral:rRNA from 1 species
GUCGAGUGGCGGACGGGUGAGUAACGCGUAGGAAUCUACCCAAUAGCGGGGGAUAGCCCGGGGAAACUCGGAUUAAUACCGCAUAUGCCCCACGGGGAAAAGCAGGGGAUCUUCGGACCUUGCGCUAUCGGAUGAGCCCAUGUCGGAUUAGCUAGUUGGUGAGGUAAGAGCUCACCAAGGCGACGAUCCGUAGCUGGUCUGAGAGGAUGAUCAGCCACACUGGGACUGAGACACGGCCCAGACUCC